UGGGGAAUAUUGCACAAUGGGGGAAACCCUGAUGCAGCGACGCCGCGUGAGCGAAGAAGGCUUUCGAGUCGUAAAGCUCUGUCCUAUGAGAAGAUAAUGACGGUAUCAUAGGAGGAAGCCCUGGCUAAAUACGUGCCAGCAGCCGCGGUAAUACGUAUGGGGCGAGCGUUGUCCGGAAUUAUUGGGCGUAAAGGGUACGUAGGCGGUUUUUUAAGUCAGGUGUCAAAGCGUGGAGCUUAACUCCAUUAAGCACUUGAAACUGAAAGACUUGAGUGAAGGAGAGGAAAGUGGAAUUCCUAGUGUAGCGGUGAAAUGCGUAGAUAUUAGGAGGAAUACCGGUGGCGAAGGCGACUUUCUGGACUGUUACUGACGCUCAGGUACGAAAGCGUGGGGAGCAAACAGG
rnacentral:rRNA from 1 species